CUCCACACUGAGUAAACAGAUAGGAUCCUGUAGAAAUGAUAGAUCAGGCAAAAUUAGGCAAAUUAGUCAAAGCUCUAAACCAUAAAUACACUACAAUGACAUUUUUGCUGUUAAACUGAGGCAUAUUCCAGGAGUUUGCCUUGUUUUUAAAGGGUGGCCCCUGGCACAUGGCCACAUACUUUUGACCUUUUUACCACAGGAUGACAAAGAGGCAGACACUCUGAGUAGC
rnacentral:lncRNA from 1 species